rnacentral:rRNA from 1 species
UGUCGUCAGCUCGUGUCGUGAGAUGUUCGGUUAAGUCCGGCAACGAGCGCAACCCUCGCCUCCAGUUACCAGCGAGUAAAGUCGGGGACUCUGGAGGGACUAACCCGUUAGGGUGGGAAGGUGGGGAUGACGUCAAGUCAGUAUGGCCCUUACAUCUAGGGCUGCACACGUGCUACAAUGCCUGGUACAAAAGGAACCAAGACCGCGAGGUGGAGGAAAUCCCUAAAGCCAGGCCCAGUUCAGAUUGGAGUCUGCAACUCGACUCCAUGAAGCCGGAAUCGCUAGUAAUGGUAGAUCAGCUACGCUACCGUGAAUACGUUCCCGGGCCUUGUACACACCGCCCGUCACAUCAUGAAAGCCGCUUCCGCCCGAAGUAUCCGAGCCAACCGCAAGGGGGCAGGGUCCUAAGGCAGGGGUGGUGAUUGGGAUGAAGUCGUAACAAGGUAACCGUAGGGGAACCUGCGGUUGGAUCACCUCCUUU